rnacentral:tRNA from 1 species
AGGUGUAUAGCUCAGUGGUAAAGUGCAGGCUUAGCAUGCAUGAGGUCCUGGGUUCAGUCCCCAGUGCCUCCA